rnacentral:rRNA from 1 species
CAACAGGGAUUGCCCCAGUAACGGCGAGUGAAGCGGCAACAGCUCAAAUUUGAAAUCUGGCCCCCGGGUCCGAGUUGUAAUUUGUAGAGGAUGCUUUUGGCGAGGUGCCUUCCGAGUUCCCUGGAACGGGACGCCAUAGAGGGUGAGAGCCCCGUCUGGUCGGACACCGAGCCUCUGUAAAGCUCCUUCGACGAGUCGAGUAGUUUGGGAAUGCUGCUCAAAAUGGGAGGUAUAUGUCUUCUAAAGCUAAAUAUUGGCCAGAGACCGAUAGCGCACAAGUAGAGUGAUCGAAAGAUGAAAAGCACUUUGAAAAGAGGGUUAAAAAGUACGUGAAAUUGUUGAAAGGGAAGCGCCUAUGACCAGACUUGGGCCCGGUGAAUCACCCAGCGUUCUCGCUGGUGCACUUCGCCGGGCACAGGCCAGCAUCAGUUUGGCGCGGGGGAGAAAGGCUUCGGGAAUGUGGCUCCCCCGGGAGUGUUAUAGCCCGUUGCGCAAUACCCUGCGCUGGACUGAGGUACGCGCAUUCGCAAGGAUGCUGGCGUAAUGGUCAUCAGCGACCCGUCUUGAAACACGGACCAAGGAGUCGUCUUCGUAUGCGAGUGUUCGGGUGUCAAACCCCUACGCGUAAUGAAAGUGAACGCAGGUGAGAGCUUCGGCGCAUCAUCGACCGAUCCUGAUGUUCUCGGAUGGAUUUGAGUAAGAGCAUACGGGGCCGGACCCGAAAGAAGGUGAACUAUGCCUGUAUAGGGUGAAGCCAGAGGAAACUCUGGUGGAGGCUCGCAGCGGUUCUGACGUGCGAAUCGAUCGUCAAAUAUGGGCAUGGGGGCGAAAGACUAAUCGA